UGAAUGAACCUUUUAGGUUAAGUUAGAAAGGGCGCACGGUGGAUGCCUGGCGACUAGGUAGCUAUGUGCGGACGGGAUAAGUGCUGAAAGCAUCUAAGCAUGAAGCCCCCCUCAAGAUGAGAUUUCCCACAGUGUUAAACUGGUAAGAUCCCUGAAAGACGAUCAGGUUGAUAGGUCAGAGGUGGAAGCGCGGCGACGCGUGGAGCUGACUGAUACUAAUAGAUCGA
rnacentral:ncRNA from 1 species